CCGUGUGAAGUUCAGAUGUAGUAGGGUACUCUUUCUACUACUAUGUUACUAAAUACAGAAAUAUUUUCAAAACAAAAAUGUUUUUUCGAUGUAAAACACUCAUGUCGAUAAAACGAUUUGAGCCCCUUUUUCCAAUGCUGAAUCGAUGACUUAUGUAUAAAGGGAGAAGAAUUCUUUGAAUUUGAAGAAAAAAAAAGAAACAACUUUGCUGAAAAAUUACAAUUAUACAUUAUACAAUUCUAAGUCCA
rnacentral:lncRNA from 1 species